AGGAUAACUAUAGAGUUUAUGGAAUUUCUUGGAAUUUAAGCAUAAUUCAUUUAUUUAUUUAUUUAUUUUUUUUAAUUGUAAGUAUAGAUGUACCUAUUGUUACCCAAAAAAAACUCCAAUUUAAUAACGAAUAAAUGAUAUAAAAAAUUGAAUUACGGCCUAAUUAAUUUGGGGUUCUUGUUAUCCAUUUUUUCCCUAUUAUACUAGCAUAUUUUCAUGUAAUUUGACAGCGCACAAUUAGAAACACCCAAUUGAGUGUGAACUAUUAAACCACCGAAAUCUUUUAAUUUUUUUUUUCUAAUUAAAAAGAAAAAAAAAAGAAUUCACCAUAAUCGCAGUUGUUAUACUAGAAAAUUAUUUUUUUGUUGCCUUUUGGUACUAAAACUCCACACUGACGAUAGUAAUACAACAUAAUGCUACCAAGUAUAGUUUAUUGUAGUCAAUAUUAGCAGCCAAAUUAAAGAAAUUAAGAAAAGUUUGAAACGGUCCUUUACUUUGCUUACUUACAAAUAAUGUGAUUAAUAUUUCAAUUCACAUUGCGACAAAUCUUAGCUCACAUUGGAUACGAAAAACAUUCGACUUUUUGUCAAUCUCGCAAACAAUUUAAAC